UACUAACUGACCUAGCAGACGUUGCAGAGAUAGUAAAGAAAACCUUCUGCAAAAGGAAAUAAAAUG
rnacentral:ncRNA from 1 species